AACGAACGCUGGCGGCAGGCUUAACACAUGCAAGUCGAGCGCCCCGCAAGGGGAGCGGCAGACGGGUGAGUAACACGUGGGAAUCUACCCAUCUCUACGGAACAACCCAGGGAAACUUGGACUAAUACCGUAUACGCCCUACGGGGGAAAGAUUUAUCGGAGAUGGAUGAGCCCGCGUUGGAUUAGCUAGUUGGUGGGGUAAAGGCCUACCAAGGCGACGAUCCAUAGCUGGUCUGAGAGGAUGAUCAGCCACACUGGGACUGAGACACGGCCCAGACUCCUACGGGAGGCAGCAGUGGGGAAUCUUGGACAAUGGGCGCAAGCCUGAUCCAGCCAUGCCGCGUGAGUGAUGAAGGCCCUAGGGUUGUAAAGCUCUUUCGCAGGUGAAGAUAAUGACGGUAACCUGAGAAGAAGCCCCGGCUAACUUCGUGCCAGCCGCCGCCGUAAGAC
rnacentral:rRNA from 1 species